rnacentral:rRNA from 1 species
GGCUAUGGCGGAGGGGCCACACCCGUUCCCAUUCCGAACACGGAAGUUAAGCCCUCCAGCGCCGAUGGUACUGCUUGGGCGACCUUGUGGGAGAGUAGGACAGGAUAGCGC